GAUACGGCGAUGAACGAGAUAAGUAGCACAGGAAAGCCUUUCAGAGAGUCUGCGGUUGGUGAAAGCAGGCAGGGCGGAUGUGCGAAAUACCCUUGUGAGCUUGGGUUCCGAACGCUUGAGUAGGAUUCCGCGGGUGCGCCCGUUACUGCGCUGGAGUAUGAUGGUACUCCGUAAGGCGUCCUGCGUGAGCAAGGCGUAAACUGAGGUGGUAACACGACACGAUCGUCCUCUGC
rnacentral:ncRNA from 1 species